rnacentral:tRNA from 1 species
GGGAAUGUGGCUUAGUGGUAGAGUGCUUGCCUAGCAUGCAUGAAGCCCUGGGUUAGAUUCCUCAGUAUCA